rnacentral:rRNA from 1 species
UACGUAGGGACCAAGCGUUGUUCGGAUUUACUGGGCGUAAAGGGCGCGUAGGCGGCAAUUCAAGUCAUCUGUGAAAUCUCCGGGCUUAACUCGGAACGGUCAGAUGAUACUGCUUUGCUAGAGUGCGGGAGAGGAGAGUGGAAUUCCGAGUGUAGAGGUGAAAUUCGUAAGAUAUUCGGAAGAACACCAGUGGCGAAAGGCGGCUCACUGGACCGUUGUUGACGCUGAGGUGCGAAAGCGUGGGGAGCGAACAGG